AUACUUACCUGGCAGGGGAGACACCAUGAUCAGGAAGGUGGUUCACCCAGGGCAAGGAUCAACUAUUGCACUUUGGUUGUCUGACCCCUGCGAAAUCCCCAAAUGUGGGAAUCUUGACUGCAUAAUUUCCGGUAGUGUGGGACUGCACUCACACUCUCCCCUC
ensembl:snRNA U1 U1 spliceosomal RNA